GCCCGGGUGGUGAAAUCGGUAGACACACAGGACUUAAAAUCCUGCGGCCAGUGAUGGCUGUGUGGGUUCAAGUCCCACCCCGGGUACCA
rnacentral:tRNA from 1 species